AAUUUACAGAAUUGAACUAAAUGAGAUCGCAGGAAGGAGAGGGAUGGAUGGAUACCCGAAUGAUCUAGGGAAUUGGACGAGCUUGAAGAAAGAGUGAAGAAGAUCCAUAGAGGAUGAGCUUGAAGAAAGAGUGAACCAUAUCCCUUGUGUUUCGCUCUAGAAGCUUCGGUCCCUCUCCUUCUUUAGAUUCUCUGCGUUUGAUUUUUUGGUCGGAAAUUAAUUUGUUUUGGUUUAAACCCAAAGAUUUGAUUCAAAUGGAUAAUUGUUGGCUCAUAUCAGAAAUCGAUCCAGUGGUGAUGGCGGAGCCCUGAGGUGCUCCAAAGUUGAACCAUGGCCUUCUAUGCCGUUUCUCGCUCCAAUCUCUCCACCUCUUCUUCUCAAUCCUUCUCUACUCUAGAGUUUGCUGCUCAUAAAUUUCCAAUUGAAGUAAAAGCUAGGGUCUGUGAUAUUGGUUAGCUAUCAUUGUUUAUUGCCACCCGUGGACACAAUUGGAAUUCAGGGUUUGGUGGUAGAGGCUAUGGAGGAAGAGAGAGAGAGAGAGAGAGUGUUCAAAGAGAGAGAGAGAUUUAAAAAUAAUUUAAAUAGUAAAAUAAUUUUUUAUUAAUUUUUAGUCUACGUGGAAGUUCAAGUCAUCAAAAAAAGGGGUACCACUUUUGACACAUCAGCAUUUAACAGACUGACUAACAGUUUGGCUAACGGAGGGGGCAAAUUGUAAGUUUUCC
rnacentral:lncRNA from 1 species